GUGCGGCGUUGUGAAGUGUGCAAAGUAUAUGAUAAACGAACGAAAGUAAUAUCAUUUCACGCGGACAACUUUAUUUCUUCUUCUUGUUCUGGUUCAACUUUAACAAUGCCCUCAUCCAUGACUAUCUACAAGAACUAUUUUAAGCUAUACGACCACAAAAAUUGGGUUACCUGUACGACGAAUGCUAUGGCUUUAAAAUAAAUCACUAAUAGCACAGCGUAAAUACUAUCAUAGUUUAGGCUGUAGGUCGAUUUAGCAAGAAUCUGUUAUUUUUGAACAUAACCUUAAAUGCUUACUCCGUGACACCGUAAGUACAGAGCGGUCAUUAAGCUUCGAGUUAAAGUGAGGUAAAUCGACUACACCACAAAAUUUAUCGCGCUCCGGCAAGAUAGGUAGCCCGCCCCUGGUUUCGGGGUUUCGAGCCUACAGUUGAAUGUCGAAGACAAUCAUGGAAUUAGGUGUCGUACUUCAAAUGGUUACAGGGAGAAAAAUGUUAGUAACAAACAAUAAGUCAGUACAUACAUCAAACGAAUCGGGACAAGACGAAGUAAUUAACAUCAAUAAACAUAAAUUAAGUAAGCAUUAUACCAAAAACGUAAACAAUUACAAACAAUAGCAUAACGGUAUCAAAUAUGUGAUUCUGUAUUGCGGUUAAACCAAGUAAAUUUCAA